AUACGUAGGUGGCAAGCGUUGUCCGGAAUAACUGGGCGUAAAGCGCAUGUAGACGGCAUGAUAAGCCAAAUGUGAAAUGUAGGGGCUCAACCCCUGCACUGCGAUUGGAACUGUCAAGCUUGAGUGCAGGAGAGGCAAAUGGAAUUCCCAGUGUAGCAGUGAAAUGCGUAGAGAUUGGGAGGAACACCAGUGGCGAAGGCGAUUUGCUGGACUGCAACUGACGUUGAGAUGCGAAAGCUAGGGGAGCAAACGGGAUUAGAUACCCCGGUAGUCCUAGCCGUAAACGAUGGAUACUAGGUGUAGAGGGUAUCGACCCCUUCUGUGCCGCAGCGAACGCAAUAAGUAUCCCGCCUGGGGAGUACGGUCGCAAGACUGAAACUCAAAUGAAUUGGCGGGG
rnacentral:rRNA from 1 species